rnacentral:rRNA from 1 species
UCCAAGGAAGGCAGCAGGCGCGCAAAUUACCCAACCCCGACACGGGGAGGUAGUGACAAUAAAUACUGAUACAGGGCUCUUUUGGGUCUUGUAAUUGGAAUGAGUACAAUUUAAAUCCCUUAACGAGGAACAAUUGGAGGGCAAGUCUGGUGCCAGCAGCCGCGGUAAUUCCAGCUCCAAUAGCGUAUAUUAAAGUUGUUGCAGUUAAAAAGCUCGUAGUUGAACCUUGGGCCUGGCUGGCCGGUCCGCCUCACCGCGUGUACUGGUCCGGCCGGGCCUUUCCUUCUGGGGAACCUCAUGCCCUUCACUGGGCGUGUUGGGGAACCAGGACUUUUACUUUGAAAAAAUUAGAGUGUUCAAAGCAGGCCUUUGCUCGAAUACAUUAGCAUGGAAUAAUAGAAUAGGACGUGUGGUUCUAUUUUGUUGGUUUCUAGGACCGCCGUAAUGAUUAAUAGGGAUAGUCGGGGGCAUCAGUAUUCAAUCGUCAGAGGUGAAAUUCUUGGAUUGAUUGAAGACUAACUACUGCGAAAGCAUUUGCCAAGGAUGUUUUCAUUAAUCAGUGAACGAAAGUUAGGGGAUCGAAGACGAUCAGAUACCGUCGUAGUCUUAACCAUAAACUAUGCCGACUAGGGAUCGGACGGUGUUAGUAUUUUGACCCGUUCGGCACCUUACGAGAAAUCAAAGUUUUUGGGUUCUGGGGGGAGUAUGGUCGCAAGGCUGAAA